AGAGUUUGAUCAUGGCUCAGGGUGAACGCUGGCGGCGUGCUUGACACAUGCAAGUCGAACGGUAUGUGGCAACACAUAGAGUGGCGAACGGGUGAGUAACACGUGGGAACGUAUCUUUUGCAGGGGGAUAACUGACCGAAAGGACAGCUAAUACCGCAUAAGUCCGAGAGGAGAAAGGUGCAACAGCAUCGGCAGAAGAGCGGCCCGCGGUCCAUCAGCUAGUUGGUGAGGUAAGGGCUUACCAAGGCGACGACGGAUAGCCGGCGUGAGAGCGUGGCCGGCCACAAGGACACUGAGAUACGGGUCCUACUCCUACGGGAGGCAGCAGUGCGGAAUUUUAGAUAAUGGAGGGAACUCUGAUCUAGCGACGCCGCGUGCAGGAAGAAGGUCUUCGGAUUGUAAACUGCUGUGGUAAGGGAAAAAUGCUAUGUAGAGUGGAAAGCUACAUAGAGGGAUGGUACCUUACUAGAAAGCCCCGGCUAACUACGUGCCAGCAGCCGCGGUAAUACGUAGGGGGCGAGCGUUACCCGGAAUCACUGGGCGUAAAGGGAGCGUAGGUGGCCUAACAUGUCAACUGUGAAAACCCGGAGCUCAACUCCGGACUUGCAGUUGAAACUGGUAGGCUUGAGGACGGUAGAGGAAGACGGAACUGCCAGUGUAGGGGUAAAAUCCUUAGAUAUUGGCAGGAACGCCGGUGACGAAGGUGGUUUUCUGGGCCGGUUCUGACACUGAUGCUCGAAAGCCAGGGGAGCGAACGGGAUUAGAUACCCCGGUAGUCCUGGCCCUAAACGAUGUUCACUAGGUGUGGGGAGCGGAAAGCUCUCCGUGCUAAAGCUAACGCGAUAAGUGAACCGCCUGGGGAGUACGCCCGCAAGGGUGAAACUUAAAUGAAUUUGACGG
rnacentral:rRNA from 1 species